rnacentral:rRNA from 1 species
CGGCGAUUUCCGAAUGGGGAAACCCAGUGUGAUUCGUCACACUAUCAUUAACUGAAUCCAUAGGUUAAUGAGGCGAACCGGGGGAACUGAAACAUCUAAGUACCCCGAGGAAAAGAAAUCAACCGAGAUUCCCCCAGUAGCGGCGAGCGAACGGGGAGCAGCCCAGAGCCUGAAUCAGUGUGUGUGUUAGUGGAAGCGUCUGGAAAGGCGCGCGAUACAGGGUGACAGCCCCGUACACAAAAAUGCACAUGCUGUGAGCUCGAUGAGUAGGGCGGGACACGUGGUAUCCUGUCUGAAUAUGGGGGGACCAUCCUCCAAGGCUAAAUACUCCUGACUGACCGAUAGUGAACCAGUACCGUGAGGGAAAGGCGAAAAGAACCCCGGCGAGGGGAGUGAAAAAGAACCUGAAACCGU